CAUCCGGCAGCUUAUUCCACGGAUUCGCAACCCGGACGGAGAAAUCUCCUCUCCUUCAAUUGAGAUGAAAUCGUCGCAGAUAGAGCUUUUCGGAGUGACCCCGCAGCCGACACUCUGGAGCAGGAGUGUAGAACAGCUCUUUUGAAACGUUACAUAUUCCGAAUGAAAUAAACCAAUUGAGUGGUCUUUCUUUGGAUACAGCCUAAGAUGUCUGUGAGUGUAGAAACAAGCUUCUGAUGAGCCGACUGGAUGUAUCAGAGAGUUCAGGAAGUGAGAAAUAUUGAUUGUUAUGUGGCACCAUGGUGAGUAAAGAGUGGAUAACCUGAUAGGUUCAGAGAUGUUGAUGUUGGGUUCUGAGGUAGGAAUGAGAUUGAGGGUAAUUGGAAUGUCAGUGUAUCAACCAAGUAUGCCUGUAGGGAAAAAAAAAUUGGUGUACAGAAAUAAGGAUUGAAAAAGAUUCAGGGAUUGGCAGCAUCAGAAUGGGGCAAAUGUGAAAGACAAGACAAGU